GCAGCCUGCAACUCGGCUGCAUGAAGCCGGAAUCGCUAGUAAUCGCGGAUCAGAAUGCCGCGGUGAAUACGUUCCCGGGUCUUGUACACACCGCCCGUCACACCAUGGAGCCGGGAUGCCCGAAGUCAGUGGCCCAACCGCAAGGGGGAGCUGCCGAAGGCAGGCCCGGUGACUGGGGUGAAGUCGUAACAAGGUAUC
rnacentral:rRNA from 1 species